GAGUAACGCGUGAGAACCUGCCUCGAGGAGGGGGAUAACAGCGGGAAACGGCUGCUAAUACCCCAUAUGCCGAAAGGUGAAAAGAAAUUUGCCUUGAGAGGGGCUCGCGUCCGAUUAGCUAGUUGGUGAGGUAAGAGCUUACCAAGGCGACGAUCGGUANCUGGUCUGAGAGGAUGAGCAGCCACACUGGGACUGAGACACGGCCCAGACUCCUACGGGAGGCAGCAGUGGGGAAUUUUCCGCAAUGGGCGAAAGCCUGACGGAGCAACGCCGCGUGGGGGAAGAAGGCCUUUGGGUUGUAAACUCCUUUUCUCAGGGAAGAAGCUCUGACGGUACCUGAGGAAUCAGCCUCGGCUAACUCCGUGCCAGCAGCCGCGGUAAUACGGAGGAGGCAAGCGUUAUCCGGAAUUAUUGGGCGUAAAGCGUUCGUAGGCGGCAUUUCAAGUCUGCUGUCAAAGGCCGAGGCUCAACUUCGGAAAGGCAGUGGAAACUGAAAAGCUAGAGGUCGGUAGGGGCAGAGGGAAUUCCCAGUGUAGCGGUGAAAUGCGUAGAUAUUGGUAAGAACACGAGGAGGCGAAAGCGCUC
rnacentral:rRNA from 1 species